CAGUCGGACGGCAGCGCGGGAGCAAUCCUGGCGGCGAGUGGCGAACGGGUGAGUAAUACAUCGGAACGUGUCCUGGAGUGGGGGAUAGCCCGGCGAAAGCCGGAUUAAUACCGCAUAAGCUCUGAGGAGGAAAGCGGGGGCUCGAAAGACCUCGCGCUGCAGGGGCGGCCGAUGGCAGAUUAGCUAGUUGGUGGGGUAAAGGCCUACCAAGGCGACGAUCUGUAGCUGGUCUGAGAGGACGACCAGCCACACUGGGACUGAGACACGGCCCAGACUCCUACGGGAGGCAGCAGUGGGGAAUUUUGGACAAUGGGGGCAACCCUGAUCCAGCAAUGCCGCGUGUGUGAAGAAGGCCUUCGGGUUGUAAAGCACUUUUGUCCGGAAAGAAAGCUUCGGGGCUAAUACCCCUGGAGGAUGACGGUACCGGAAGAAUAAGCACCGGCUAACUACGUGCCAGCAGCCGCGGUAAUACGUAGGGUGCGAGCGUUAAUCGGAAUUACUGGGCGUAAAG
rnacentral:rRNA from 1 species